rnacentral:rRNA from 1 species
UCAGACGAUGCGUCAUGCAUAUCAAUAAGCGGAGGAAAAGAAACUAACAAGGAUUCCCUUAGUAACGGCGAGUGAAGCGGGAAGAGCUCAAAUUUGAAAUCUUCAAGGUUUUACCUUGACGAAUUGUAGUUUAAAGAAGUGUUUUCUGUUGAAGUUUUGGUAAAAGUUCUUUGGAAUAGGACAUCAUAGAGGGUGAGAAUCCCGUAUUUGACCAUUAUUUUCAGCUGUGUGAUACACUUUCAAAGAGUCGGAUUGUUUGGGAAUGCAGUCCAAAAUGGGUGGUAAAUUUCAUCUAAAGCUAAAUAUUGGCGAGAGACCGAUAGCGAACAAGUACCGUGAGGGAAAGAUGAAAAGAACUUUGAAAAGAGAGUUAAACAGUACGUGAAAUUGUCAAAAGGGAAGCGUUUGACACCAGUGUUGUUUUCUCGAAAGUCAAUUAAAAAGAGUUAGAUUUUGUUGUGUAUUGACCUUAACAGCUUGCAUUUCAAUUUUCUUGCUUUUUUUAAUGCACUUUUCGUUUAACAAGUCAACAUCAGUUUCUUUUGUUGUAAAAAGGUCAUUGGAAGGUGGCUUUCUUUUCGGAGAAAGUGUUUAUAGCCUUUGACUCCUGCAAUCGGAGAGACUGAGGUCUGCAGCGUAGAUCCUUCGGGGUUAGAUACAUUUGUGCUAAGUUAUAGCUUUUUAUAGACAACUUGUUGACUAUGAUUAGUCUUGUAGCUUACUCGCUUAUGCUAUUUUACCUACGCUUAGGAUGUUGAGUCGUAGAGCACGCAG